rnacentral:sRNA from 1 species
GCUGAGAGCAAGAUGGGUCACCAGCAGCUGUACUGGAGUCACCCGCGAAAAUUCGGCCAGGGUUCUCGCUCUUGUCGCGUCUGUUCAAACCGGCACGGUCUGAUCCGGAAAUAUGGCCUCAAUAUGUGCCGCCAGUGUUUCCGUCAGUACGCGAAGGAUAUCGGUUUCAUUAAGGUAGGCGUCUGCAGGCGUACUCCAUGUUGUUUGGGCAGAGAAGGUUGUGGGGGUUCUUUAUAUUUUCCGCGAAAGACAAACGGACAGAUCUUCCCUGGAGUGGUAAUUCUGAGCAUUCGACCAAGAGCUUUUCCUCUUUUUUUAGUUGGUAGCUGGUGACAGUGUUGAUGGUUUGGGCAAUCAAAUUAAUAGAAUGGAGAAGGUGAAGGACUCAGUCUUUCCUACUCCCUUUUUUACCUAGAUAGCUUAGCCAGUUUUAGGUGCCGUGUAUUGUGUUUGGUGAAAUUCACUUUAGAGAAGCCACUAAAAUUGUUUUACAUUUGUUUCAUUUAUCAAUCUUGUAAGUACCUAUUCUCUCUCUUUUUUUGUUUUUAGAGAUAGGGUCUCCCUCUGUCGCCCAGGUUGAAGUGCAGUGGCGUUGUUACGGCUCACUGCAGCCUCGAACUCCUCCUGGUCUCAGGCGAUCCUCUUGCCUUGGCGUCCCGAGUAGCUCGAACUAAAGGCUCUUGCCACCACGCGCGGCUGUACCUAGAUAUUUUCUAACCAAAUAUAUGUAUUAACCGCUGACCCCAAGUUUUUUUUUUUUUUUUUUUGAGUCGGAGUCGCACUCACCCAACCUGGAGUGCAAUGGCGUGAUCUCCGCUCAGUGCAACCUCCGC